CCUACGGGAGGCAGCAGUGGGGAAUAUUGCACAAUGGGGGAAACCCUGAUGCAGCGACGCCGCGUGAGUGAAGAAGUAACUCGGUAUGUAAAGCUCUAUCAGCAGGGGAGAAAAUGACGGUACCUGAGUAAGAAGCCACGGCUAACUACGUGCCAGCAGCCGCGGUAAUACGUAGGGGGCAAGCGUUAUCCGGAUUUACUGGGUGUAAAGGGAGCGUAGACGGCAGUGCAAGUCUGGAGUGAAGGGCGGGGGCUCAACCCCCGGACUGCUCUGGAAACUGUACGGCUGGAGUGCAGGAGAGGUAAGUGGAAUUCGUAGUGUAGCGGUGAAAUGCGUAGAUAUUAGGAGGAACACCAGUGGCGAAGGCGGCUUACUGGACUGUAACUGACGUUGAGGCUCGAAAGCGUGGGGAGCAAACAGGAUUAGAUACCCUUGUAGUC
rnacentral:rRNA from 1 species